UAUACCAGAUUUCAUUCUUUGGUGUUGGCGAAAGCGGACGUGAUUUUCGCCCAACCGAGCAUCCAUUCAAGAUCAACUUUGAUAUUCAGACUUCUGUACGAUUGCUUCCUAACAAGGCUAUCAACAUAACACCGUACUCUUUCGUUCCACUUGGUGACAUAAUGUAUAAGGACCUUGAUACAUCAUUCCUUAUAGGUAUUAACUCUUCUAUAGCCUCUUGAUUUUUUAAAAAAUUGUUAAUAAUUUUCCUUACAUUUUUUUUUCUGUAUUUCACGAGAUGUAAUUGGAAUUCUCACAGGAGCAAGUGGAGAACAAGAGUUCGAAAAAGAUGGUACUAAACAGAAGAGGAUAACUAUUGAACUUGACCAAGAUGGGGUUCGGGUUGAAUGUGCUUUUUUCGGAAAAUAUGCUUCUGAAGUUGUUGGUUAUCUUUCCUCUAUUGAUGCAACCAAUGUUGUCGUGGUUGUGCAGUGUUGUAAGAUCAAGCCAUUUAAAUGUAAGACUAGCAUGAAAAAUGUUUAUGGUGCUAUUAGGGUUCUUUUUAAUCCUCUAAUUCAAGAAGCUGCCCCUCUCCGUGCUCGGUUCUUUGAGUCAAAUGAUCUUGCAACACAAAUUAUUAGUCCACUUCAAGACUCUGCAAAAAAAUCAUCCCUUGAAGAAGAUUUUUCUGAAAAAGAGUGAUGGGAAAACUAUCGAGCAACUCAAAGAUCUUGCUGAA